rnacentral:lncRNA from 1 species
CACCAACUCCAUUAUCUUUUGCUCCCCACCAAAUCCUUCUCUCUUCUUACUCAAUAGAUCGCCAGUGGAGCUGUUUAAGAAAAUCCAAUUCGUAUAUUCCAACAGAAUGUUUACAGCAAGCUCAUGCCAACAUCAAAACCAAGUUUCACACAGAAAAAAAAAAACACCCGAAAUAACAUCUAUAAUCUCCGAGAUCUCCUUAUUCAAACAGUAUAUGCCAACAAAUUUUCACCAAGAAGAAGAAAACAGAUCAGCCAAUCAAGCACAAAUAGACAAGGUAAACACUAGGCUCAGCUCAUUCAAUCCAUUCGUUUUUCAUCCAACAAGCAUGAUCGAUUAAAGGAUACUAAGCAUACAAUGAGUAUAUUCAUAAAGAGACUUAGCAAACUCAUAUGAUCUUUAGGCAGAAAUCAGUUUAUGCUAUAUUUUCUUAUCACACGAGGCAAGCAAGGAAAUUUCUUGAUACAUUAGUAAACCACGAACUUAGUUUUAUCUCUUGCAUAAUCAAUUAUAGAAAUACCAUAAUUCAAUAGAAAAAGGGAGAGAGUGAGGCUUGAGCCGGUUCUUGAGCAGAGGACAGAUUUCAGCGGCAUCUCCUGCUGCCUCGGCGGAAAUUGCGUGACAACAGCAGCAGCGUCACGAACGAAACAACGGCGCUGAAUCGCUGAUCUUCCACAAACGGUGGAGAUGGCGGCAGAACCAUGGCGGCAGAGGCGGAAAAGAAACAAGGCUCGACUCCCCGCCUGCUUUGACAUCUGAAUCGGGACCGGAACGGAGGAAGAAGGCGGCGUGACGCAACUCGAACCCCAUCGACCCCGGAGAACAACGAAGGCGGACUCUCCCCUGCUUGCCGGAAAUCACACAGCAGCAGCGGCGGUGCUCGCCGAUUCUGGAGUGCAGCGGCACGGCGAAGUCGAAGAUUCCAGUAGCAGCAGCGGCGUACCCUUCUCGCCGGUUGCUCAGUAACGGCGGCGGAUUCAGAUUCACCGAGGGAGAUGCGACGGUAGGGCCGUUGCGGCCACUGGAUGAAAAUCAGAGGGAGGCUCAACGACGGCCUCGGCGGAAAUUGGGCACCGCGACGGAAGGAGCCGACCUCGUCGGACCUCAGAAUGGCUGAAACAGCGGCGGUGCUCGCCGGUUCCGCGGCAGUGGCAGAUCGAAGCAGCGGCGGCGCUCUCGAUUUGGGGAUCUGCUCGUACAACGGUGAAGAGGGGGUUUAGGGCGAGGAAGCGGCGCGGUCAACAGCUGAACGCCGGCCACGCCGGCAGCUGGAACGACCGGAGAAGGAAGCGGCGGCGGCGGACGCCUCGAUUGAAGGUAGAUCGAGGGAGGAGAAGGCUGAGUGUGAUUUAGGAGAGAUUAGAGAGAGAGAGGAUAAGGAGGAAGAGGCAGAUGCGGCCAUGCCGGACCUAGGCACGGCCGCACGGCGGCAGCCGACGCCGGUCGGAGCAGAGAAGGAGCUCGACUGAUUUUGAUGAAGGGCUCGAUUGAUUCUGGGAGAAUGAGCUAUCGGCUGAUUAUUGAGUGGAGAGGGUGUCGACUGUUUUGAAAUAAAAGAGAGAGAGAGAUUAAAUUGGGCCAACUGAUUUUUGGGCUUUAUUAUUUAUUUGAAUUGGGCCAACUGAUUUUUGGGCUUUAUUAUUUAUUGUAAUUGGGCUUAAUUUAAUUAAUUCAUUGGGCUUUGUUAUUUUAUUCCGAUUGGGCCUCCUAGUUAUUUUAAGUUUGGGCCUUUUUCUUUAAUUUGCUGAUGGGCUCUAAUUGUUUAAAGAUUUGGGCUAAUGUAAAGUUUAUGAUGGACUAUUAUUCCAUAUGCCCAUUUAUAUAUCAGUUGGGCCGAGUUUUAAUUAAUUUUAAGUUCAGAAUAAUUCAUUCUAUUCUUGGGCUAAUUUUAAAUUUUGGAAAUAAAUUUAUUUAGGUGGACUGCAGAUUUUAAUUGUUUUGGGCUUGUCCACUUUUAAUUUGUUUGGGCCGAAUUAUUUAAGAAAAAGUUUGGGCUUUAAUUGUUUUAAAAGAUUGGGCUUGUGUUUAGAUGGUUUUGGGCCUCUUCAUUAAUUAUUAUUUGGACCCUAUUUUAAUUGUUUUGGGCCAAAGACUUUUAAGUUGGGCUUUAAUUCUUUUAAAGCUUGAGCUGAGGUUACUUCUUUCAGAUAAGCCUUGCAGUAUCUAUUUUGAUGAAGCCUAAUUAUUUAUCAGUGGGCGAGCCGAUUCUUAUUCAGUAAAUGAGCCGCCCAGUUUAUUAAAUAUUGUUUUCGGACUUCAGACUUUAAAGCAAGCCAUUACUGUUUAUUUCAUUAAGCCACUGGUUUAUUUAAUUAAUUGACUACUCUCUUUUGAGCCUAUUAAUUAUUUGAGGUUACGCUAGUAAUGAUGCUUCUAUCGAAAAGCCGAUAAUUUCUACAAGGUCACACCUCGUUUAAAGCCGAGUUAGUCCUUUUUCAAUCAAGUACAAAUGCGAGGUUUAUUUCACGACUAGAAUAUUCCGAUGAGGAAGGAAGAAUCACAGUUUUAUUCGACCGCGCUAGACGAGAAUUAGCUAAAUCUAUUAACGAGGAUUAAUAGUAGAAUUCCCGAUUAUCGCUCAGAGUAUUAGUUCAUGCAUACCAGAUUCAUGCAUAGUUAAAUUACGCUUUCUCAUUAAUUAAGAAUUUUCCUCGAGGCAAUGUCUUAUUUUAUAUUCUCGUGAUUAAGGUCAAGCGCGAGAGUAAGAACUACACAAGGAGUUAGAGUACCUUAGCAAAACUUUGCUAUCAGGUGGGCAAUUUCUUACGCGUAAAUAAAAUGCUAUGCAAGUGUUAUGCUUUAAAAUGCAAAUUGGAUCUUCAAGUGUGGUAUGCUUUAUUAUGCUUUACGCUAAAUGAUUUACGCUUGAUUACGCUUAUUUACGCUUGAAUGCUUUACGCUGAUAAGUUUAUGCUUAUGUUUGAUGCUUGCGUCUGUUGGGGGAGGCCUCCCUCAACAGUACGAUGCCGUGUCCGUUGAGGAGGGCCUUCCUCACGGCGCGAUGCCCGUGUCCGCUGAGAGAGGCCUCUCUCGCGGCGCGAUGCCAGUAUGCCAGUAUGCCAGUGUUACAGCGUCUAUUGGGGGAGGCCUCCCUCAAUAGUACGAUGCCGUGACCGCUGAGGGAGGCCCCCUCUCACGGUGCGAUGCCCGUGUUCGUUGGGGAAGGCCUUCUCCACGACACGAUGUUUGUUAAUGAAGAUUGAUGAUGAAGAAUGCCCUUAUGCUAUUUAAGAAUUUGGAAAUGUUUAAUGAGCAAAGGAUAUGAAAGAAACUCAUGCCUCUUAUGCGAUAUUGUGAAAUUGUUAAUGAUGUUAUGUUAUAUGCUUGGCAACUGCCCACUAAGUACUCUUGUACUUAGCCCUUCGAUGUUUAUGUUUGUGCAGGUUGAGCUGUGAUGGGCGAUGAAGUGUUGUUGCUGAGUGGAGUUUUUGGUCGAACUUAAAGUAGGCUCAGAAAGGAUACAUGUCUUCAUACAUGUAUCACAGUUAUGCUUUCCGCUGUAAACAAUGAUUAUUUCAGUUACGCCUUCCGUUGCAAACUCUGAUAAUGUUUUAGCCAAGCCCCUAAUGAUGCCUUUUUUCCUUUUAAGGAAUAUAACGCGUAUACAAGUUCUUUGAGUACCCUUUUUAUGCGAACUAUGCCUUUUUCCUUUUUAAGGAAUAUUUCACGCGUAUUCAAGCUCUUUUAGUAUUCUUUUAUGCACCCCUUUCUAAACCCGCUUCUUAAUUUCCCUUCCCC